CCUAUAGCUCAGCAGGAUAGAGCAACUGCCUUCUAAGCAGUGGGUCGGGGGUUCGAGUCCCUUUGGGC
rnacentral:tRNA from 1 species